UACUCGAGUGGCGAACGGGUGAGUAACACGUGGGUGAUCUGCCCUGCACUUCGGGAUAAGCCUGGGAAACUGGGUCUAAUACCGGAUAGGAGCCAUUUUUAGUGUGAUGGUUGGAAAGUUUUUUCGGUGUAGGAUGAGCUCGCGGCCUAUCAGCUUGUUGGUUGGGUAAUGGCCUACCAAGGCGGCGACGGGUAGCCGGCCUGAGAGGGUUGACGGCCACAUUGGGACUGAGAUACGGCCCAG
rnacentral:rRNA from 1 species